UUUCCGUAGGUGAACCUGCGGAAGGAUCAUUAUUGUUUAACCGAGGUGCGAGGGCUGUCGCUGACCCGAAAGGUCGUGCACGCCCGAGUGCCCUCACACACAUCCAUCUCACCCCUAUGUGCACCACCGCGUGGGUCCCCCUUUGGCUUGUUCGGAGGGGGGCUUACGUUUUCACACAAACUUUGUAUGCAGUGUAGAAUGUAUUUUUUGUUUUUGCGAUCACGCAAUCAAUACAACUUUCAACAACGGAUCUCUUGGCUCUCGCAUCGAGAAGAACGCAGC
rnacentral:misc_RNA from 1 species